rnacentral:misc_RNA from 1 species
UCAUUGAAAUCCUCAAGCGUAGCUUGGUGUUGGGUUAUCGCCCCCUGGGCGUGCCCGAAAAGUAUUGGCGUCCCGGUGUGACUUCAAAGCGUAGUAAACUAUCUCCCGCUUUGAAAGUUCUGCAUUGUGGUUGCCAGACAAACCCCAUAAUUCUAUCCAUGAUUGACCUCGGAUCAGGUAGGGAUACCCGCUGAACUUAA